rnacentral:rRNA from 1 species
GUAGGGAAUAUUGGGCAAUGGAUGCAAGUCUGACCCAGCCAUCCCGCGUGCCGGAAGAAGGCCCUCAGGGUUGUAAACGGCUUUUGACGGUGAAGAACCGACAGGAUGCGUCCUGUUUUGACGGUAGCCGUUGAAUAAGCACCGGCUAACUCCGUGCCAGCAGCCGCGGUAAUACGGAGGGUGCGAGCGUUGUCCGGAUUUAUUGGGUUUAAAGGGUGCGUAGGCUGGAAGGUCAGUCAGCGGUGAAAAGCUAUCGCUUAACGAUAGUCUUGGCGCAGAUACUUCCUUUCUUGGAUGAGGAGGAGGCCACUGGAACGGAUGGUGUAGCGGUGAAAUGCAUAGAUAUCAUCCAGAACACCGAUUGCGAAGGCAGGUGGCUGUACCUUAAUCGACGCUGAUGCACGAAAGCAUGGGGAGCAAACAGGAUUAGAAACCCCUGUAGUCC